GUAACGGCUGCUUUGCUUUGUUUGGAUUCAGGGUCUCUCAUACGACAAUGGAUGUGUCAAUGAAGAGCUACUUUUUUUCCUUCCAAGAGUGGUUGGCCCCAUAUAGAGCUAUUGAUCUCCAAAGUGAUUAACAUUGCUUAAUUACAACCCCACUUUGAAAUGAAGACUGCAUGUCAAUAGCCACAUAAAUAAAAUUCUAAGGAAACAUCAAAUUUCAGGUGA
rnacentral:lncRNA from 1 species